GAGAUGGGGUCUCACUCUGUUGCUCAGCAGGAAUGCAGUGGUACAAUCACGACUCACUAUACCCUUGAACUUCUGGGCUCAGGGGAUCCUCUUGCCUCUGCAGCCUAAUAAUUUUUUUUUAAUUUUUAUUUUUUUGUAGAGUUGGGGAUCUUGCCUUGCUAACCAGGCUGGUCUCAAACUUGUGGCUUCACGCAAUCCCCACACCUCAGCCUUCCAAAGUGCUGGGAUUACAGGUGUAAGCCACCAUGCCUGAUCUGGAAUGCUUUCUAAAAAUAUGGCAUUAUAAACAUAAUACUAAAGAGAAAAAAAGGUUAAAUUUCACUUCAAGAAAUUAUCAGUCUAAUAGCAUCAGUAAAAAUGGCACUUUUAGUCAUGGCAUAAAAUAUACAAUAAGGCUAUUUUUCAAUUAUUGUUUUCAAGUUGGAAAAUGCAUUAUGAAACACUCAAAAAGAUGCUACUGGGUUUACUCAUCAAGUGCUUUUGACACCAUAUAAAUGACAGAGUAACACCACAGUUAUGUGAUUGGGACUCAAGAAUCCUUAAAUGUUAGGACUGAAAACAGGUAUAUGACUUAUUUGUCCAGAAUUUAUAUUUUUCUGUAUCCCAAUAAAAUAAUUAAGCCAUGUGUAUUGUGUAAAAUUACAGUCUUUCAGUCUGUCCUAUGUGCUUGCUCUCCUGGCUAGAUAUUAGCUAAAAAUUAGCAAAAACAGCCAUUUCCCCUAUUAUUCCCCAGCAAAGAUGUGAAACCAAAACGCCUAACCUUUUCUGCCUGGUGGACUGCCCUCUACUGGACUAU
rnacentral:lncRNA from 1 species